rnacentral:lncRNA from 1 species
AAUAUUCCGAUUCAUAUAUCUCUUUUUCUUUCAGAUGUUAGAUGGAGGAGAACUUAAUGUGAGAGUAAACUUCAGGGCUGGCUCUUGCCUUUCUGGAGCUGCUCGUUGAAAAUCAUCUUUGUGAUUCUCAAAGAACCAAGGGACACAAUAGAUCCUUUUUUUACUCUCUCUUUAGUCCUUUAUCACCCUGGAAGUGUUCCCCUUCAGGAAGGGGAUUCUGGUACAGGGAAUUCCUUAACCAUCUUACAAGGCCAAAAGAUGUGGAUAAAGCCAUCUGGGGCUAAGAACGCCGAAGAAAUACCAAGAAAUAAGUUGAAUCUGAGUCAUGUUAUUCCCCUUUCUAUAUUUUUAGCCAUACAAAUUACAUAUUGUGAUAGAGACUCCUUUUUUACUUUCAUUAAUUUGGAAUAUAGUUUCUUUUGUUGGUUCUUUGUUCCCAUUAUAUCCAGUUGAGUAUGGUUAAAUUCUUCAACGCGUAAAGUGAUUUUAAUGGUUGGUAGGUAGUGCUAUAUUUCUUGUUAGCCUUUCAAAU